rnacentral:rRNA from 1 species
UACAGGGGGUGCAAGCGUUAAUCGGAUUUACUGGGCGUAAAGCGUGCGUAGGCGGCUCGCUAAGUCGGUUGUGAAAUCCCUGGGCUUAACCUGGGAACUGCAGUCGAUACUGGCGGACUAGAGUACGGUAGAGGGUGGCGGAACUCCGGGUGUAGCGGUGAAAUGCGUAGAUAUCCGGAAGAACACCGAUGGCGAAGGCAACCACCUGGGCCUGUACUGACGCUGAGGUACGAAAGCGUGGGGAGCAAACAGG